rnacentral:rRNA from 1 species
GACGAACGCUGGCGGCAGGCCUAACACAUGCAAGUCGAGCGGACCUUUCGGGGUCAGCGGCGGACGGGUGAGUAAUGCGUGGGAAUAUGCCCUUCUCUACGGAAUAGUCCUGGGAAACUGGGGGUAAUACCGUAUACGCCCUUUGGGGGAAAGAUUUAUCGGGGAAGGAUUAGCCCGCGUUGGAUUAGGUAGUUGGUGGGGUAAUGGCCUACCAAGCCGACGAUCCAUAGCUGGUUUGAGAGGAUGAUCAGCCACACUGGGACUGAGACACGGCCCAGACUCCUACGGGAGGCAGCAGUGGGGAAUCUUAGACAAUGGGGGCAACCCUGAUCUAGCCAUGCCGCGUGAGUGAUGAAGGCCUUAGGGUUGUAAAGCUCUUUCAGCUGGGAAGAUAAUGACGGUACCAGCAGAAGAAGCCCCGGCUAACUCCGUG